UCCUGCCUGGAUCACUCCAUCCCGGCUCACCCUUGAAUGAGUCACAAGACUGCUGCUCACACCCCGGCGUCUAACAUUCUGGAAGCUUGUGGUUCUGUGGUCCUGCUCGGGGCCCACCAGACUUAAUCUGCCGUGAGAUAGAGUCCCCAGACUCCAUCCUCCCAGAGAUGAAUUCAGUAGCUAUUCAUUCAUCCGUGUUCUUACGUUGAAAUGCUUCCUCUUUAUAAUUCGGACCAGUGAGAUAUAAAACAGCAAGAGGGGAAGAAGGAUUUGCUUCACAUCAAAAUAUGUUUUGUAAAUGAGAGAGAUUAUUCCCCAAAGGACCGCCUCCUGUUACAGAAUGAGAGUGUUCCCAGAUCCCAUCUCUACAGUAUUGGAACUUAAACCGCAAUCUCCAGAAGCAUCAAGAACAGUGCCUAGCACUAUUUACGGUAACCAAGACAUGGAAGCAACCUAAAUGUCCAUUGACAGAUGAAUGGAUAAAGAAGAUGUGGUACAUAUAUACAGUGGAAUACUACUCAGUCAUGGAAAAAAGUGAAAUAAUGUCAUUUGCAGCAACAUGGAUGACCCAGAGAUUAUCAUACUAAGUGAAAUAAGUCAAAAAGAGAAAGACAGAUAGCAUAUGAUGUCACUUAUAUGUGGAAUCUAAAAUAUGACACAAAAGAAAUUAUUUACAAAACAGAAACAGACUCACAGACUUAGAGAAUGAACUUAUGGUUACCAGAGGGGAAGGAUAGUGGAGAGGGAUAGUUAGGGAGUUUGGGAUUGACGUAUACACACUGCUACAUUUGAAAUGCAUAACCAACAAGGACCUACUGUAUAGCACAGGAAACUCUGCUCAAUAUUAUAUAACAACCUAAAUGGGAAAAGAAUUUGAAAAAGAAUAGAUACAUUUAUAUGUAUAACUAAAUCACUUUGCUAUACACCUGAAAUUAAUACAACAUUGUUAUUCAACUACACUCCAAUAUAAAAUAAAAAGUUUAAUGUGCAUUUGUAGUAAAUAUCAUAAUUAACUCAAAAAUGUUUUGGUUACCUCUGCACCUGAAAAGAAAAAUUACAGGUAGGAGAAAAUGAGUCUGUUUGCACAUAACUCUCUCAACAGUCUUGAAAAUAGUUGAAUUGAUGACUACCACACCCCCUUCCUAAGAAUAUCAGUUCCUCUCACUAAGAGGAAUUCAAAUAAAAUUUUCUAAGCUCCUGCUGCACUCACCAAGAAAUUUCACUUCUCCAGCCAAUCAGGUGAUGAACAUGGAUGAGAAAAAAUGAGAGGAAUUCACAAAAUGGAUAAAUCAAUUUUGUCAAAUCUUCCAUCCUGAGUUCAAUCAUCUUGGCCCAUCCUAAAACCAUUAGUAGGGGAUUGUUUCUCCUCUUCUCUUUGGAACUAUAGCUUGGUAUUCAACAUCAGGAGAUGUAAGAUUUCUUUUAGAUGAGAUAGCUCCUAAGAAAGUUGGUAGGUAUGCAAAAAAUGAGAUUUGAAAAUCUAAAAGUUUCCACAAGCUUCGGAAAAGAGUCAUUGAUCUGUAGCGUUGGUAACAAAGAGUCAUCAAAACCAGGUUUUAACUUAUUCAGUCCGUCAAUAACUCACUUCACUGAAUACACUUUUGCAAGCCAAGCAACCAAUACCAACAACUCUCUUCUGAAAGUCAGACAAUCAAGAGCAGACCCACCCCAGGAAACAAAGCUCUGAGUGCCAACAAGUCAACAGUAAGUCUCACCCAAAUAAAUAUAUUUCCAUUGAUGAUAUCAAACUAUUUCUCUCUCUGGAGUCCAUCGAACUCAAAAACCUCAUACAGGAGAAGCAGUCUGCUAAGUGGCAGACUCCUCAUCCUGUGACCUAGUGGUAACACAGGCAUCAUAAUAACGACUUCUACAUGCAUUGUUAUUUCACUUGAAGUUAAUAACCACAUGC